rnacentral:lncRNA from 1 species
GAGUCUUAAAAGAAUAAGCCAUACAAAUACAAACUUAAUUAAAAUCAAACUAAAAUAAAAGGGAAAUUUAUAAAUGAAACAAGUCACUUAAAAAUAAAAGGCCCAAUAGGUAAAGCAUGCAAAUGCGCAGCGGCUCAAACUGGAAAUAAUCCAGGCCUCAAAACGCUACGUUUAAGCGCGGAUCAAAUUGCAACAAAGCACAAAUUACAAGUCCAAAUAAAAAAAAGAAGCAAGGCGCAUAAGGCGAAAUCGAAGGCUCGCGCGAAUAUGGAGGACCUAGCGCGCAAAUUCUCCUUUUUAAGCAAAUGGGCGUGUAUCUGGCCUACUAAACGGGUCAAUGCGCGGAUCCUUACCAUUGAAUGGCGCCGUUUCAAUUUUGAUUCAAAAUUAAAAGAAACAGAAUGGAAAUAAGCCAUUUUACAAGCCACAAACCGAACAACCAUCUGCUAGGGUUUUGGUGCCGCAGCUUUGAGGUUUUUUCAGCCCCUUUCGUCCUUUCAACUACCACCGUCCCACCAUUGAAUUCAAUGGGAGGUAGCUUGUCAUGGAAGCGUUCCAUUUUCUUACUCCAAACCUCGCCUCAAAAGCUCAGAUUUUUUAGCCCCGAGAACCUAUCUCAAACUUCGAUUUCAACAAAGAAAAGAUGGUCUCUGAUGGCUUGUACGCGAAGGUAAGCCCUUCCCUCUCCUUUUUCUUAUGCAAAUAAACUGUGCGAAAAUGUAGAAAAGAGAAUAAACGAAACAGAUUCAAGAGGAAAGCAGACGAAGCACUCGGGAUCACCUUUUUCAAUUGCUUUUUGAACUUUUUUCUUUAAUAUUUAUUUUUGUGUCUGUGAUAUGCGUGUUUUUUUUUUGUAACCCUUACAAAGAUUAAAAAUCUUGGCUUUAUAGCUGAGAAGCAAGAAAAUCAAAAAAAUAAAAAUACAAUUCUUUCGUUAUUUCCUAUUUGCUGCUACUCUAUUUGUCCUUUUUGCAGGUACGGGGUGUGCUGGCGCUCAGGUACGGGAGCUGUGCUAGAGUACGGAGGCGUGGGCGUGGCGUGGCUGCUGAGCUGGAGCUGAGGCAUUGUCCGGUUCUUGGCUGUGGCGCAAAAUGAAGGGGGUGACCUAGGGUUUCUGAAACUGUUAAGGAGAUGGGCCUAUUGGGCUUGUUUUGAUUUGGGCUUGUAAUGGGUAUCGGGUCUGGGUUUAUUUGGGCCAUUUGGGUUAAUUUGGUCAUGUAACAGGGACAUUUUAAUGGACUGUUAUAAAACUGAACUAUUAUAAUAUUUAUUGGGUUUUUAUUUUUUGUUUUUGGUUUGGUGUUUGCGCUGGCCCGGGCCAAAAUUGGUCAUUACAUGUUGGGUUUCAGUUUUUCGUUGGACCAAAUAAUUGAAUAUCCUUUUGUAAUUUUCAAAUGUAUGAGCUUUUGGAAAUCAAGAAUCAAUCGUGGUUUUGAGGGUUUAAAAUGUCAUGUUCUAGCGUGCUGGAUGUGAUAUUUUUUUCCUUCGUAAUAAGAGAAUUUUAACAUCUAAUUCGAGUUGUUCAAAUGUUUUAAAAGAAAUCGUAUUUCAAAAUCUUUUUAAAUUUUAGACAUAAUGAUAUUAAUUAAC